CAGUCGCCGCGGUAAUACGAAGGGUGCAAGCGUUAAUCGGAAUUACUGGGCGUAAAGCGUGCGUAGGCGGUUUGUUAAGUCUGCUGUGAAAUCCCCGGGCUCAACCUGGGAAUGGCAGUGGAUACUGGCAAGCUAGAGUGUGUCAGAGGAUGGUGGAAUUCCCGGUGUAGCGGUGAAAUGCGUAGAGAUCGGGAGGAACAUCUGUGGCGAAGGCGACUAUCUGGGCCAACACUGACACUGAGGCACGAAAGCGUGGGGAGCAAACAGGAUUAGAUACCCCGGUAGUCCCUGUCUCUUAUAC
rnacentral:rRNA from 1 species